GGGGUUGUGGCUCAGCUGUAGAGCACUUGCCUCCUAUGUGUGAGGCAUUGGGUUCAAGCCUCAGCAACCACA
rnacentral:tRNA from 1 species